UGAACGCUAGCUACAGGCUAACACAUGCAAGUCGAGGGGCGAGCAUAACGAAAGCUUGCUUUGUUGAUGGCGACCGGCGCACGGGUGAGUAACGCGUAUCCAACCUUCCCUAUACUAGAGAAUAGCCCGGCGAAAGUCGGAUUAAUGCUCUAUGUUCUUCUUUGAUGGCAUCUGACGAGAAGCAAAGGUUUACCGGUAUAGGAUGGGGAUGCGUCUGAUUAGGUUGUUGGCGGGGUAACGGCCCACCAAGCCUACGAUCAGUAGGGGUUCUGAGAGGAAGGUCCCCCACAUUGGUACUGAGACACGGACCAAACUCCUACGGGAGGCAGCAGUGAGGAAUAUUGGUCAAUGGGCGAGAGCCUGAACCAGCCAAGUAGCGUGCAGGAUUGACUGCCCUAUGGGUUGUAAACUGCUUUUAUGCGGGAAUAAAGUCAGGUACGUGUACCUGUUUGUAUGUACCGCAUGAAUAAGGACCGGCUAAUUCCGUGCCAGCAGCUGC
rnacentral:rRNA from 1 species